AACUUGAAAAUAGACAAACCACAAGAUAACAAAACAAAAAUAUUUAAAUUUUAAAUAUAUUAAUGUGUUUGGUUUAAGACUUUAAGUAUAAUAUUGUAGUUUAUGUACUAUGUAGUAUUGUAAUUAUAAUUUUUUCUUUUUAAAUUUUUUACUUUGAUUAUUACUAAUUUCGUCGGAAAAUUUAUGUAGCUCAAAAGAAACUAAACCAUUUAGUGUAUAUAAGUUUAAAAAUGGAAGUUUAUACAAAAGCCCCGACUGACUACAGAAUUGAAAACGUCAAUAUUUCAUCGAGUGAAGGAUCAAAAAUAGAAAAACACAUAAUUAUUGAUUUUUCGACUGAAAACAACACUAGUGAAAGUGUCAGAAUGUCUGUGAUGCAACUCAACAAUUUAAAACACAAUGUUGCUAAUUUAUUGAAGCAUACCAAUCGCCUUAAGACAAAACUUCAACAAAAUUAACAUUUAAUAAAUAAAUUAAAUGUAAAAAAAAAAAUAACAAUAAAAAUAAUAGUUAACAAUGUGGUAUUUUUAAAAAAUAUAAGGCUGGAAUGUUUGUUUGAUACUUAAA